AUAAAUGUUACGAGCAUGGGAAAGGCAUAACCAAUUUUAAAUCAGCUUUUCAGGCGGUGUUACUAUUGUGAAUGUUAUGCGAGAAAGCAAAGAAAAUUCUAAUGGGAGAAAGCAAAGUUAAGGUAAUGAUUUUGGUUUGUCCUUUAGCUUUCAAUAAUUUCAAUGCUAAUUAGGGGUUUUUCUUCAUAUGUUUUCUUUCGUGUUUCAACUUCCGAUUUCACUCAAUUUUAUGUAUUUGCUGAACACCUUCUCUGUUUUACAAAAUGUUUCUAUAUUCCCAAAUAGUUGUACCAAGAACCAACACUACUUAGAUCACACUGAUAGUACUUGGACCUAAAAGAAUGGUCAAACGGAUCUUUUCUCAAAGUCAAAUCUCAAUUGUACAAAUGACUGAUUUUUUUAAUGUGUUGUUAACGUUUGAUCGUUUUAUCUUUGAAGUAUUAUUGCUUUAUCAUUAACAUUU